GACGAACGCUGGCGGCGUGCCUAAUACAUGCAAGUAGAACGCAGUUGCGAACGGGUGAGUAACGCGUAGGUAACUGCCUCAUAGCGGGGGAAAAAUAUUGGAAACGAUAGCUAAUACCGCAUACUGUGACAUGGACCUGCGUUUGAUUAGGUAGUUGGUGAGGUAAAGGCCCAACAAGGCGACGAUACCUAGCCGACCUGAGAGGGUUACCGGCCACACCUGGAAUGGGAAACGGCUCCGACUCCCAAGGGAGGCCACAGUAGGGAAACUUCGGACAUGGACGGAAGUCUGACCGCGCAACGCCGCGUGAGUGAAGAAGGUUUUUCGGUCGUAAAGCCCUGUUUUUAGAGAAGCGUUACCUAACCAGAAAGGAACGGCUAACUACGUGCCAGCAGCCGCGGUAAUUC
rnacentral:rRNA from 1 species